rnacentral:lncRNA from 1 species
UUUAUAGGUUGCAUUUCUGUAAAUAUUGACAAUGCAAUUUCCCAUAGGAACUCCUUUUACGGCUAAAACUGUACCACUUUUACUAUGAAGUUUUGAAAAAAAUCUUAUCCUAGAAUUGAAAGUUCAUAUGCACCACAAUUUUUUUCAAAGGUCAAAAUAUAGGGCUGUGCGGCAUAUUUUCAACGUUUAGAUGCCCUGAACUUCUCAGAGUUUAAACUUACACUAAUUUUCUUAACUACCCCUACCUCGAAUGAAAGGUUACCACAGAUUUCAAUGUAAACAAUAUGCACGUGUUUAUUUACUGGUAACAUUCCCAAGUUCUGUCUCUGCGAUAUGGAACACAGAGAGUAUAACUGGGAACCAGUAUGUAAACAAAAUCAAUUUUCUAUGAAUAUUCAAUUACUCCCCAAAAGAGGCGUGUUUUGAGAAACAGCUGUAUUUACAAAGUGCAACCUAUAAUCGUUUUGUUUAAUU